UCUCUCCUCUCCUCCCCUCUCUUCUUCUUCUUUCCUUCUCCGGUGACCGGCCGAUGACCUCCCAAGCGGCUCCCCACCCGGCCGACGACCUCCCAAACGGUGGUAGCAGCCCGAAAUCUGGCCAACAAUAGAAAGAGAGAGAGAAAAAAAAAAGGUCUCAAACUUUGAAUGCUCGUAUCCAGCGAUCUUGACUUCCGAUUGGAGUGAUUCCAGCGGCUAUGGACUCCUAAGAGCGAGCCCUUUCAGAUGAGACCAGCCUCGCCGGAUUUGGUGGCCAUUUCCGGUGCCAACGAGGAGAGAGAAAAUCGGCUUUUUUUUUUUUUUUACUUUUUGACGAGAUUUCUGACAAUCCGACCGAUGGAUCGGCAAUCCAAGACCACCUACGGACUCAGGAGGAGGAAAUGAACAUUUUGGUGUAACCAGUUCUCGUAGAUGUCGCCGGCGAUUGACGGCCGGCCACCGUGCGCGGUAGUUCCGACGGUGGCUUCGACGAGCUUUGGGGAUGAUUCAACUUCCAAAUGCUUCCUCAUAAAUUUUUUGAAUUUUUGAGAUAUAGAUAAGCUUUGGGUGAUCGAUGUCAGCUAUUUUCCUCCAUCCAGCAACCACAAUAGUCCUCGGUGUACUGCUAUAGGAGGAGAUUUUUUUUCAGAAUAACUUGUUCCUUUCCUCGCAGGUUAUGAAAAAAAAAAUUACUUAAAUGUAUUAUUAUUGUCUAAAUUUAUAAUUUAGAACUCCGCAUAUACUAGUAGUAGCAUUAAUCUUGUCAAGGACUGCAUGAAUUUAAGUUUUUGUAUUAAUAAAUGAAAAUUUUUUAUGAGUUUUAAAUAGUUUGUAAAUGAUGUAAUAGGGUUGAGCUGGGCUCCCCUAAUUUUAGUUUCUGAUAAUUACUGGGCUAAGUUGGCUCGAAAUAAAAUUAUAACAGUUUAAUUUAAAUUAUUUUCUAUGCAUAUUGGGCCUAAAUUAUGGUCCUAGUCAUGGGUUGAGGUAUAGUUAGGUUUACUAUGGGUUUCGGGGGCUUUAAGCUGGCCCAGG